ensembl:miRNA
AUCGAUCCCCAUCCCAGCUUCCUUCCAGCCCUUGAUGUUUUAGUAUGCACAUAGGCUAGAGAGAGGUUGGGGAUGGGGAAAGAU